GCCUCUAUGGCACAGGGGUAAUGCGUGUCACUCGUAAGGAAAAAAAGGGUUUUCGGGUUUUCCCAGUCUACCCGAAGAUACUUGCGGUGUUAUGACAAGAUCCGCGGUUCGAUUCCGCGUGGAGGCA